CAGGGAGUUCCUGUUUUAACCCUCAAAGUGAAGUGUCGUCUCAUUAUUGGGGGAAGGAUUUACUGUAUGCUGUUCCAGUUUGACUGCUAGGAGAGUAAACCUAUUCGUAUGGCUCCUAUUCAACUGUCUACAGCAUUCAUAUGCUUGGGAGAAUUUAUUUGUUUCUCCGGUUCGGUGAUUGUGGUGUCUGCCAGAGUGCUUGGAGUCCUCAGGAAGCGCUAGGAGCAUCCUUCAACGGAGGUACCCAGUCGGGGUGCCAGGCGAUCCGUUACAUUGGUGGCAGCGGUGGGAUGGCGUCCUAGUGCGAGGUAAAGCAGCUCAGAGACACAGUUCGUGGAUUUACAAAUUGAAGGUGACGCUAGUGUUCAUACAGCGUCCCUGUCUACAUAAAGAUUUGGGAAAACCAGCACUACUUCAGAGAUGGAAGGCCGUGCAGUAUCUCACUUUGACGCCAGGCUCCAGCAGCGACUACAGGAUGUGAUGCGCAGUAUGGAGUAUCCUAUCCCAGAGGAAAGAGAG